rnacentral:rRNA from 1 species
GACGAACGCUGGCGGCGUGCUUAACACAUGCAAGUCGAACGGGAUCCGGGCUUUCGGGUUUGGUGAGAGUGGCGAACGGGUGAGUAACACGUGAGUAACCUGCCCCCUUCUUUGGGAUAACGUCGGGAAAUCGGCGCUAAUACUGGAUAUUCUUGCUGCAUCGCAUGGUGUGGUUUGGAAAGGGUUUCUGGUGGGGGAUGGGCUCGCGGCCUAUCAGCUUGUUGGUGGGGUGAUGGCCUACCAAGGCUUUGACGGGUAGCCGGCCUGAGAGGGUGUCCGGCCACACUGGGACUGAGCAACGGCCAAGACUCAUACGGGAGGCAGCAGUGGGGAAUAUUACACAAUGGGCGCAAGCCUGAUGCAGCGACGCCGCGUGAGGGAUGACGGCCUUCGGGUUGUAAACCUCUUUCAGUAUGGAAAAAGGAUCCUUCUUUUGGGGGGUUUGAGGGUACGUGAAGAAGAAGCGCCGGCUAACUACGUG